GACGAACGCUGGCGGCGUGCUUAACACAUGCAAGUCGAACGGUGAAGCUCCAGCUUGCUGGAGUGGAUCAGUGGCGAACGGGUGAGUAACACGUGAGCAACCUGCCCCUGACUCUGGAAUAAGCGCUGGAAACGGCGUCUAAUACUGGAUACGAGAAGGGUCCGCAUGGGCACUUUCUGGAAAGUUUUUCGGUUGGGGAUGGGCUCGCGGCCUAUCAGCUUGUUGGUGAGGUAAUGGCUCACCAAGGCGACGACGGGUAGCCGGCCUGAGAGGGCGACUGGCCACACUGGGACUGAGACACGGCCCAGACUCCUACGGGAGGCAGCAGUGGGGAAUAUUGCACAAUGGGCGAAAGCCUGAUGCAGCGACGCCGCGUGAGGGAUGACGGCCUUCGGGUUGUAAACCUCUUUCAGCAGGGAAGAAGCGAAAGUGACGGUACCUGCAGAAGAAGCACCGGCUAACUACGUG
rnacentral:rRNA from 1 species